rnacentral:misc_RNA from 1 species
CUAGCUGUUCCUCUCUUGAGGUUGUAACAUUUUUAUCCUUCCACUUGAAGGAGCAAUGCAACUUUCCUGAAAAAUAUUUUCAAUAUGUUGGAUGUUGCUUGUCUCAUUCUCUGUGUUUAUAUUUUUCUUGGUUAUUAUUAGUUCUUGCAGAUUUUAGCUUAUCUAUAUUGAUUAGUUUUCUUAUUAUUGUAACUAGUCUCCUUGCUUUAUUUUUCUAAGUUGCAACCAGCUGAUCUUGCACAUGUUUGUUUUUCAGGCUGAUAAACUUUUGUCUCCA